rnacentral:rRNA from 1 species
UACGUAGGGGGCGAGCGUUGUCCGGAUUUAUUGGGCGUAAAGAGCUCGUAGGCGGUUCGAUAAGUCGGAUGUGAAAUCUCCACGCUCAACGUGGAGGGGCCAUUCGAUACUGUCGUGACUCGAGUCCGGUAGGGGAGUGUGGAAUUCCCGGUGUAGCGGUGAAAUGCGCAGAGAUCGGGAGGAACACCCGUAGCGAAGGCGGCACUCUGGGCCGAAACUGACGCUGAGGAGCGAAAGCGUGGGGAGCGAACAGG